UACAGAGGUCUCAAGCGUUGUUCGGAUUCAUUGGGCGUAAAGCGCGUGUAGGCGGUCCGGUAAGUCCGCUGUGAAAGUCGGGGGCUCAACCCUCGAAUGCCGGUGGAUACUGUCGGGCUAGAGUGCGGAAGAGGCGAGUGGAAUUCCUGGUGUAGCGGUGAAAUGCGCAGAUAUCAGGAGGAACACCAAUUGCGAAGGCAGCUCGCUGGGACGUUACUGACGCUGAGACGCGAAAGCGUGGGGAGCAAACAGG
rnacentral:rRNA from 1 species